rnacentral:rRNA from 1 species
GACGAACGCUGGCGGCGUGCUUAACACAUGCAAGUCGAACGAUGAAGCCCAGCUUGCUGGGUGGAAGAGUGGCGAACGGGUGAGUAACACGUGAGUAACCUGCCCUUGACUCUGGGAUAAGCGCUGGAAACGGCGUCUAAUACUGGAUACGACCUAUCACCGCAUGGUGUGUGGGUGGAAAGAUUUAUCGGUUUUGGAUGGACUCGCGGCCUAUCAGCUUGUUGGUGAGGUAAUGGCUCACCAAGGCGACGACGGGUAGCCGGCCUGAGAGGGUGACCGGCCACACUGGGACUGAGACACGGCCCAGACUCCUACGGGAGGCAGCAGUGGGGAAUAUUGCACAAUGGGCGCAAGCCUGAUGCAGCAACGCCGCGUGAGGGAUGACUGCCUUCGGGUUGUAAACCUCUUUUAGUAGGGAAGAAGCGAAAGUGACGGUACCUGCAGAAAAAGCACCGGCUAACUACGUGCCAGCCGCCGCAGUAA